UUAGUUAGUGGUUUUAUUUGCAUAUGUUUUUGUUAGAAAUAGAAGAGAUAAAUAUAGGAUUUUUUUUGGAAAUUUAGGAAAAAGAAUGAAAUAAAGAAAAAGAAGAAAGAAAAAGAAUAUGAAGUUGAUGAGUAAGUUAGUAGGAAAAAAACGUGUCAUGUGGAGAAUUAGGAAAAAAAUAAGGAAAGGAAAAUAGGAAAAAUAAUACCCAUCCUCUUCUUUCUUCUCUCUCUCUUUUUUUUCGUUCUCCAUCUGCCCAUGCCAACUUCAUCUCUGUGUAAAUUUUCAAUAGCCCUCUACUCCCUCCGAUCAGCUACCGCGAAUCCUCCGGCCGCUCCACCGUGAAACAUGUAAUACACUCCAUCAGUCCAAGCUCUCAAUUCCCCAUUCUUCCCCUCAAUUUUGGAGCUUAGGUUGCAAACCCACUUCCACUAAUCUUUGGAAAAUUGUUGAAUUUAGAGGUGAACACGGUGCAAGCACAAGCAAUAAGGGAAAGGAGCACCUCCCUGGUUGACUAAGCCAGUAAUAGCGUUUUUUUUUGACGUGUACAGAGUAUAGAAGCGAGUGAGCUCGCUAGUUGGCAGCAGCACGUGUCAAGUCACUACCCUCCCUUUUUGCUGGUAAAGUUGGAGUUCUCACGUGGCAUGCUUAGGCUAACUUUUGGUUGUUUGUAGUUAGUUGGAAAUGUAAGGUUAUAACCUUCUUUUUGCUAGUGAAGUUGUAUAAAUAUCUAUCGAAACAUGUUAAUGUUGUUUUGUUAUGUACAGUAGUAAA